AAACCAUACGCAACAGAGAGGGAGAAAGAAAGAUGGAGAACGAGAAGCAGGAAAGCAUCAUCACCGUCGUCAUCACAGACCUUUCACCGCCAUCUAGACGCGUCAUCAUUGUUGGCAGUUUUUGCUCAUCUUAUCCAUACUCUUAACGCCGGGUUUCGGAGGGGACCCAUGACGAAAAAUCGGUGUUUAUGUGAUGUUGAUUUUGUGAUUGUUCGGUUCUUUGGCUUUGAUAUUUGGGGUUUUGGAGUGUCACUGAAGGUCAUGGCUUCUCCCCGACUGCUCAUGUUAUUCAUUUUUUCCCUUGGUUAGGCUGCUAUACUACAAGUUCUUAGGCUUUGCAUUUUGGUACAGGUGUUUUAGUUUCGUUACCCGAGGCUACUUCAAUAUAUAUGCUUUCAUUCUUAUAGUCUUUGUUUCCAGCUUAGUUUGAUGAAUAUAUAUAAGUUUGGGUUUUUAUGAGUUUGCUGCCCAAGUGAGAUCAGUGCUUAAACACUGCCCAACUCUUCAAUUAUCUCAAGCAAGAAAAGUUACAUUUGUCUUUGCACAUAAUAAUGCAAAUCACAUAAUUGUUUUAUAAAUCUGAUCUCAUUUCGCUUUACCACCGCCAGAGAAUGGGUGAGAGACAAAAGGUGACGGUUGUUGAUGUCGGUGUGAAAGGGGUGGUGAGGUGGGGUUGAUCGGAGGAGACGAUGGCGGAGAGGAAGGAGUGGAGGACCUUUCGUCGCUCAUUAACCUAAUCUGCUGAACUGGGGUAAAGUUGAACUCGCGGUUGACCAAAAAGAAGCAGCAAACAUCGAAGAAGCAAUCACCUCAUACCCACUGGCUACUGACGGUCUACCCAAUGCCGUUUGUAAGUCCGUCUACUGCAGUUGUGACCGGCUGAUCGCGAACUGGCUACGUCACCAGGAAAUGAGCUGCUGCGGGACCGCUAUGUAAAGACCGAGCUUUUCACCGCCGAGCUCAUGGUAUUGGUCAAACCAUUUACUAGGCGUGAAGAUCAAAAAACCAACUCGCUGACUGACUAACCAAGCUCGGUCAUAGCAUACGGAAGACGGAGCACACCGGCUCCAACCAUGGCGUGACAUUGUAGAAGGCGGAGCACCACCAUGUGGCAUUGCGUGAUGAGGUGACUAGAAGCCAUUUGUCACUGGCUCGCUUCCGUUCGGUUUUGUUGUCAACCUGUCACAAUCAUAAUUUUUUUAAUAAGGUCUUUAGAGGAACAAAAUUGUGAGUGUACCAUAAGUCAAUAAUAAUAGUCAUAAU
rnacentral:lncRNA from 1 species